GAUGAACGCUGGCGGCGUGCCUAAUACAUGCAAGUCGAGCGAACAGAUGAGGAGCUUGCUCCUCUGACGUUAGCGGCGGACGGGUGAGUAACACGUGGAUAACCUACCUAUAAGACUGGGAUAACUUCGGGAAACCGGAGCUAAUACCGGAUAAUAUAUUGAACCGCAUGGUUCAGUAGUGAAAGACGGUUUUGCUGUCACUUAUAGAUGGAUCCGCGCCGCAUUAGCUAGUUGGUAAGGUAACGGCUUACCAAGGCAACGAUGCGUAGCCGACCUGAGAGGGUGAUCGGCCACACUGGAACUGAGACACGGUCCAGACUCCUACGGGAGGCAGCAGUAGGGAAUCUUCCGCAAUGGGCGAAAGCUUGACGGAGCAACGCCGCGUGAGUGAUGAAGGUCUUCGGAUCGUAAAACUCUGUUAUUAGGGAAGAACAAAUGUGUAAGUAACUAUGCACGUCUUGACGGUACCUAAUCAGAAAGCCACGGCUAACUACGUG
rnacentral:rRNA from 1 species